CCACGAUCUCCCCCCCCCGGUGACGGGAAUCCGGUGAAAUGCCGGAGCGGCCCCGCCACUGUUACCGUGACGAAACCGCAACUUUUGCCACUGGCUUUUGCCGGGAAGGCGCGGGAGUAGGAGGAACGGAAGCCAGGAGACCGGCCGGGGGGAGAGAACCAUG
rnacentral:ncRNA from 2 species